GAUGAACGCUGGCGGCGUGCCUAAUACAUGCAAGUCGAGCGAACGGACGAGAAGCUUGCUUCUCUGAUGUUAGCGGCGGACGGGUGAGUAACACGUGGAUAACCUACCUAUAAGACUGGGAUAACUUCGGGAAACCGUAGCUAAUACCGGAUAAUAUUUUGAACCGCAUGGUUCAAAAGUGAAAGACGGUCUUGCUGUCACUUAUAGAUGGAUCCGCGCUGCAUUAGCUAGUUGGUAAGGUAACGGCUUACCAAGGCAACGAUGCAUAGCCGACCUGAGAGGGUGAUCGGCCACACUGGAACUGAGACACGGUCCAGACUCCUACGGGAGGCAGCAGUAGGGAAUCUUCCGCAAUUGGCGAAAGCCUGACGGAGCAACGCCGCGUGAGUGAUGAAGGUCUUCGGAUCGUAAAACUCUGUUAUUAGGGAAGAACAUAUGUGUAAGUAACUGUGCACAUCUUGACGGUACCUAAUCAGAAAGCCACGGCUAACUACGUG
rnacentral:rRNA from 1 species